ACUGCCGGUGAUAAGCCGAGAGGAAGGUGGGGAUGACGUCAAGUCCUCAUGGCCCUUACGGGCUGGGCUACACACGUGCUACAAUGGUGGUGACAGUGGGCAGCGAGCACGCGAGUGUGAGCUAAUCUCCAAAAGCCAUCUCAGUUCGGAUUGCACUCUGCAACUCGAGUGCAUGAAGUUGGAAUCGCUAGUAAUCGCGGAUCAGCAUGCCGCGGUGAAUACGUUCCCGGGCCUUGUACACACCGCCCGUCACAGCCAUGGGAGUUGGUUUUACCCGAAGGCAGCUGUUUUAACCGCAAGGAG
rnacentral:rRNA from 1 species